GUCCAAACCUAUAUUCAUUCACUGGGUCCUGAUUGUGACAGUGGAGCCCAGUUUGCACUGCAGGAUCCAGAGAUGACAUCAGUGAAGCUGGAAGACUGCAGUCAAACACUGGAACUGAAUGUCAUCAUUAAAGAUGAAGAAGAAGAGGAAGAGGGGGAGGAGGAAAAGAUUGGGGUAUCUGUUUCUCAUGGAAACCAUGGUGCCACGUUCUCUGCAUCCAGAGAGCAACAGCAGGAAGAUCAUAGCGCUAAGAGAUCUCAUCACUGCCCACAUUGUGAGGAGAUUUUCCCAUUUCUAUCAAAGCUGAAAAUACACCUAAAAAUACACACAGGAGAGAACCUGUAUUCCUGUACUGACUGUGGGAAGAAUUUCACAACAUUAGAGGAUCUGAUCAUUCAUCAGAGAGUGCAUGAACGGAUACACACAGGAGAGAAGCCUGUGUCCUGCUCUGACUGUGGAAAGAGUUUCUCUCUACUGAGCAACUUAAAACGACAUGAACGCAUACAUACAGGAGAGAAGCCUUACGUAUGCUCUGACUGUGUAAAAUGCUUCACAACAUCAACUGAGCUAAAACGUCAUCAGAGAACACACACAGGAGAGAAGCCUUACUCCUGCUCUGACUGUGGAAAGAGUUUCUCUCAACUGAGCAACUUAAAAGCACAUGUACGUAUACAUACAGGAGAGAAUCCUUACUCCUGUUCUGACUGUGGGAAGAGGUUCUCUCUAUUGAGCAACUUAAAAUCACAUGAACGUAUGCAUACAGGAGAGAAGCCUUACGUAUGCUCUGACUGUGUAAAAUGCUUCACAACAUCAACUGAGCUAAAUCGUCAUCAGAGAACACACACAGGAGAGAAGCCUUACUCCUGCUCUGACUGUGGAAAGAGGUUUUCUCGACUAAGCACCUUAAAAAGACACCAAGGUCAACAGAAAGGACCAUUGAUCUGACUGUGGAAAAUGUUUUAAAACAACAGCUGAGCUUAAAGGUCAUUAGAGAGCACACACAGGAGAGAAGUGUUGUCGAAAUUUCCUGUAUUACCAAAUCACGAGAGAGCAAACCACACACAAGUCAGUUGUCAUAAAGUCCAUCUUUAAUUAUAUGAGCGUCACCAUAGCCCUGUGACUCUCAGAUCAAUUCAGUGUCUAUAAAUGAAUUCUCUGAGAGUGCUUACAUAUUGGCAACUGAGAUCCUUUAUAGCAAAGACACACAUAGCCAGACAGCAUUGGCUAUAAAUUAUCGUUCAGUUUGGUCUCCUAAACUAAGUUCUUAUCUUGUUCUUGGUACCACUUAGAACCAAAAACAUUACCUCAUCCAAUGGCAUAUAUCAAAUACACCCCCUCCUAGACAAGAUCAGAAAAUACAGUGAGUCUCUGAGGUCAUAUACUAAAUCAAGAUAAGGGCAACCUCAGAGGGGACAUGUAAAUAGUUAGACACAUUCCCAUAAGAAGACAGGCCUGACCUCUCCCCUCUCUGGGGCCCAAUGUGACUAAGCCCUGGCAGAGAAGGGAUAACUGCAAACAGUAUUAUCCAAAAGAAGACAUUCUAGUGACAAAUAUCUCACAUAAGCAUUAUUAUAUAAAUACAACAUCUUAUCAAUGUUGCCUAACUAAUUCUGAUUCUGCUACUACAGAAGCCUUACAUCUGAUCUGACUGUGCAUCAAGUUUCUCUCUUCUGUGCCACUUAAAAUGACUUGAAUGUGUACACACAGGAGAGAAGCCUUAUCACUGCAUUCAUUGACUGUGAGAAGAGAUUCUACAGAUUGGGCCAUUUAAAACGACACAAUUGUAUACAUAAAGGAGAGGCCUCAUCAGUUCUCUCAGACCAGCUAAGAUUAGUCACUCCACUUAAUUCUCAUCUCAUAAAGUAAUUGGCAACGUUGAAUUGGAUCAAAUGAAGAAAGCGUAGAACACUGUAUUGUAAUCCUAUUGUUUCUCAGUGAGAGAGAACUGUGCAGAGGAGAGGGAGCGUUAUAGUAUGUAUGUUAUCCUCUCUUUACUUUACUGAUCAGUGUGCACCUUGUCAGUUUUGGUGUGUUUUGCUAGCUUCUACUGUAAAGAUAUUAAGGUGGCCUUGGAUUUGGCCUUAGGGUUGAAUAUCCUCUGUGAGGAGUCUCACAAUGGGUGGUACUGCUUCUCUCUGCAGUUUUCCGUGGGAAUGAGCUGGUAGACACAACAUGUACAGAGUGUACAAAACAUGAAGAGACGCCUGCUCUUUCCAUGACAUAGGUGAACCCAGCUGAAAACUAUAAUCCUUAAUGAUGUGGUUUUUAUUAUGAAUUUAUUAUGGAUCCCCAUUAGCUUUCAGCAGAAAACAAGAGACUGCAGUUGGAGUUGGCUGAGAAAUGAAAAGACUGGACACUGGAGAAUUUGAAAAACAUUGCCGGCCUGAUGAAUCCCUGUUCCUGCUGUGUCAUGCUGAUGGGAGGACUAGGGUAUGCAGGAAACCACGAGUACAUCCAUCAUGCCUCGUGUCAUCUUUGCAGGCUGGUGGUGAUGGUGUGGAGUUUGUAUUCAUGCCACACUCUGGGCCCCUUGAUAAAAGUGGAGCAACUUUGAAUGCCACAGGAUUUCUAAACAUCAUUGCCAAUCAGGUGCAUCCCUUCAUGGCAGCAGUUUAUCCAUCUGCAAAUAGAUUUCGUCAGCAGGAUUACGCCACAAGGCUGGUCCAGGAAUGGUUCCAAGAACAUGACAGGGAAUUCAGUUUACUGCAAUGGCCUGACGAGUCACCAGAUCUCAAUCCAAUUGUUCAUCUGUGGCAGGAGAUGAAACAAGCUAUUCGGAGUAGAGAUCCACUCCCAGCUAGACACAAUUGUGGGAAGAAUUGGGCCAGAAUCCCUGUGGAAUGCUCUCAACACCUUGGAUAGUCCAGACAAAUUUAGGCUAAUUCUGAGGACAAAGGGGGGGUGCAACUCAAUAUUAGGAAGGUUUUUUGUACACAGUGUAUAUCAGAUAAAGAUGGUGUAAUGAUCAGUUUUUAGCAUUUGUUUGGGUCGAUUAUUUAAUAUUACUCAACUUUUGUUGAAACAGUCUAUGAAUCUACUUGUGUUUAUUAAAAUUGUCUUUUAAUACUAGAUUUAUUAUUUUAGUCAUUGAUGAUGAAUGUAUUUGAAUAACUGUGUUGAAGUUAAUUGAUCUGGCGGCAGGUAGCUUAGCGGUUAAGAGUGUUGGGCCAGUAACUGAAAGGUUGCUGGUUUGAAUCCCAAGCCGACUAGGUGAAAAGUCUGUCAUUGUGCCCUUGAGCAAGGCAAUUAACCCGUAUUUGUCCUGUAAGUUGCUCUGGAUAAGAGCAUCUGCUAAGUGACAAGAUUGUUGAAGUGAAAUACUGUAUAUACAAUAAACAACAUUACCGCUGUGUUUACCCUGGUCAGAGGGACUGGGACAUGGUAAGCUAGACUAUGUAGCUGCUGUUGUUAGUAGCCUACAGUUUCCAUGCAAUACAGCAUGUCAGAUCGCUAAUGAGGUGUAUAGCUGCUUCAUUUAUGCAAGAGUUUUUGCUUGUGUCUGUCGGGAGAGAUGUGUUGUCAUGCUUGCUAAAUAACUCCUGGAGGGAAGUGGAGAGCGUGCCCCGCACGCCUUACAUGGUCAAGAGACUCAGAGAGCCUGCAGCAGCACCCUGAUGUGAAGAACAGCCCAUACAAAAAUGUACGAUUGUAGUACAAUAAAAAAAUAUAGCAUGGUAUUUUCGUGGAAUGGUAGUGACCAAAAAACAUGUUUUCCAUUGUACGAGGCCCAGGAACAUAGAUGAAACUGCCAGAUGUGUCAUAAUAGCCUGGAAGUAAAGCUGCACUGGGAGACACAUUUGAAAUGGAAUACAUUGUAAACAUUCAGCAGGGUGGAACAAUCACAGUAAAACAUGAUUUAAAUGUAUUGUUGGAAGGGUUGUGGUCACCAUUCAUGUAAUACAUUAAAUAUAUACAUCAGA